GAUGAACGCUGGCGGCGUGCCUAAUACAUGCAAGUCGAGCGAACGGACGAGAAGCUUGCUUCUCUGAUGUUAGCGGCGGACGGGUGAGUAACACGUGGAUAACCUACCUAUAAGACUGGGAUAACUUCGGGAAACCGGAGCUAAUACCGGAUAAUAUUUUGAACCGCAUGGUUCAAAAGUGAAAGAAGGUCUUGCUGUCACUUAUAGAUGGAUCCGCGCUGCAUUAGCUAGUUGGUAAGGUAACGGCUUACCAAGGCAACGAUGCAUAGCCGACCUGAGAGGGUGAUCGGCCACACUGGAACGGAGACACGGACCAGACUCCUACGGGAGGCAGCAGUAGGGAAUCUGCCGCAAUGGGCGAAAGCCUGACGGAGCAACGCCGCGUGAGUGAUGAAGGUCUUCGGAUCGUAAAACUCUGUUAUUAGGGAAGAACAUAUGUGUAAGUAACUGUGCACAUCUGGACGGUACCUAAUCAGAAAGCCACGGCUAACUACGU
rnacentral:rRNA from 1 species